CGGGGGUCUCGUUCACCUCCAGCAGCAGCUCCUCCGGCACUAACUUGCUGCCGCCCUCAUAGGCCACCUUGCCGGGCUUCACCUCCCCCAGAGUUGCUGACUUGUGUUGCCCCGUGACAGCUGGAGGGACAGGGCAUCCCGUGCCCGGUCAGAGGCUGCUGAGGACCAGGAUCCAGCUAGUCUGAACUGCCUGCUGUGGAUGCUUUUCACAACUGCAGAAACAUUCAGAUAGCUUCCAAAAGCUCGUUGGGUUGAAAGAUUAUCUAGUGAUGGAUGCAUGUUUAGGUAGAAGUAUCAUCACACUGAGGUCAAGUCCACAGUCUCCAGGAAUAUUUGAGGCUCGACCACAGCAUCCCAGCUUAUCCCAGGGAAAGCUCUCAGAUAGGCACUGAACUUGAAGAAAGAAGUGUGCCCCACCCUCAUGA